rnacentral:rRNA from 1 species
AGUAACGGCGAGUGAAGCGGGAUGAGCUCAAGCUUAAAAUCUCCGUGCAAGUUUUGCACGGCGAAUUGUAGUCUAUAGAGGCGUGGUCAGUGAGGGCGCUCGGGGCAAGUUCCUUGGAAGAGGACAGCAUGGAGGGUGAUACUCCCGUUCAUCCCUGAGUGGCUUUUGCGUACGACCCGUGUUCUUUGAGUCGCGUUGUUUGGGAAUGCAGCGCAAAGUAGGUGGUAAAUUCCAUCUAAAGCUAAAUAUUGGUGCGAGACCGAUAGCGAACAAGUACCGUGAGGGAAAGAUGAAAAGAACUUUGAAAAGAGAGUUAAAGAGUACCUGAAACUGCUGAAAGGGAACCGAAUCGUUUCCAGUGUCUAUAAUCCGUGGCAUAUUUCAUUGGCGAGUGUGUGCGUGCGUGUGCUGUGGCAGUGGCUUUUUUGGCUGCGCUCGGCGUGUGUGCUGUGUGUGCUUGUUGGUGCCCUGUGGUGCGGUGGGACGUCAAGGUCAGUUCGUAUGCUGCGGGAAAUGGCUGCCGAGGAGGUAGGGCUUACGCUCCGCGUUUGUCUGUUAUAUCUUGGUGGACGAGUAGUCGCGGUUGGGACUGAGGUGCCUACAACGUGCUUUUGAGUGUGUAUGGGUCUCCGUGUGCGCCGUGUGCGGAUAGCUUGCUAUGCGUGUGUGGUUGUGUGUGGAUUGAUGCGUACUGUAACUUGUCGCCGUUCGGGACGUUGACGAAAUGGAGCGAUCCGACCCGUCUUGAAACACGGACCAAGGAGUCUAACAUGUGUGCAAGUGUUAGGGUGUGGAAACCCCAGCGCGAAAUGAAAGUAAAGGGCAGCGCAAGCUGUCUGAGGUAGGAAACGUUGCGGGCUUCGGCCUGCGGCGUGGCACUAUCGACCGAUCAUGAGCCUUCGUGGUGAAAGAUUUGAGUUUGAGCACAUAUGUUGGUACCCGAAAGAUGGUGAACUAUGCCUGAGUAGGGUGAAGCCAGGGGAAACUCUGGUGGAAGCUCGUAGCGAUUCUGACGUGCAAAUCGAUCGUCAAACUUGGGUAUA